UCACUCUAGGNCGGACUGCCGGUAAUAAACCGGAGGAAGGUGGGGAUGACGUCAGUCAUCAUGCCCCUUAUGACCUGGGCUACACACGUGCUACAAUGGAUGGUACAACGAGUCGCGAGACGGUGACGGCUAGCUAAUCUCUUAAAGCCAUUCUCAGUUCGGAUUGUAGGCUGCAACUCGCCUACAUGAAGUCGGAAUCGCUAGUAAUCGCGNAUCAGCANGCCGCGGUGAAUACGUUCCCGGGCCUUGUACACACCGCCCGUCACACCAUGAGAGUUUGUAACACCCAAAAGUCGGUGGGGUAAACCGUAAGGAGCCAGCCGCCUAAGGUGGGAUAGAUGAUUGGGGUGAAGUCGUAAAGGGGUUAACCGUAAA
rnacentral:rRNA from 1 species